rnacentral:rRNA from 1 species
CUUAACCUACAGACUGCGUUUGAAACUGUAUAUCUUGAGAGCAGCAGAGGAAGGCGGAAUUCCUGGUGUAGUGGUGAAAUACGUAGAUAUCAGGAAGAACACCAGUGGCGAAGGCGGUCUUCUGGGCUGCAUCUGACGCUCAUGUACGAAAGCUGGGGUAGCGAACGGGAUUAGAUACCCCGGUAGUCCCAGCUGUAAACGAUGGACACUAGGUGUUGGAGGUUCGAAUCCUUCAGUGCCGGAGUUAACGCAUUAAGUGUCCCGCCUGGGGAAUACGGUCGCAAGACUGAAACUCAAAGGAAUUGACGGGGGCCCGCACAAGCGGUGGAGCAUGUGGUUUAAUUCGAUGCAACGCGAAGAACCUUACCAGCCCUUGACAUGCUCGGUUCCGGGUCCGGGAGAUCGGACCUUUCANUUCGGCUGGGCCG